ACGCUGGCGGCGUGCCUAAUACAUGCAAGUAGAACGCUGAAGGAGGAGCUUGCUUCUCUGGAUGAGUUGCGAACGGGUGAGUAACGCGUAAGUAACCUGCCUGGUAGCGGGGGAUAACUAUUGGAAACGAUAGCUAAUACCGCAUAACAGUAGAUGUUGCAUGACAUUUGCUUAAAAGGUGCAAUUGCAUCACUACCAGAUGGACCUGCGUUGUAUUAGCUAGUUGGUGGGGUAGCGGCUCACCAAGGCGACGAUACAUAGCCGACCUGAGAGGGUGAUCGGCCACACUGGGACUGAGACACGGCCCAGACUCCUACGGGAGGCAGCAGUAGGGAAUCUUCGGCAAUGGACGGAAGUCUGACCGAGCAACGCCGCGUGAGUGAAGAAGGUUUUCGGAUCGUAAAGCUCUGUUGUAAGAGAAGAACAGGUGUGAGAGUGGAAAGUUCACACUGUGACGGUAUCUUACCAGAAAGGGACGGCUAACUACGUGCCAGCAGCCGCGGUAAUACGUAGGUCCCGAGCGUUGUCCGGAUUUAUUGGGCGUAAAGCGAGCGCAGGCGGUUAGAUAAGUCUGAAGUUAAAGGCUGUGGCUUAACCAUAGUACGCUUUGGAAACUGUUUAACUUGAGUGCAAGAGGGGAGAGUGGAAUUCCAUGUGUAGCGGUGAAAUGCGUAGAUAUAUGGAGGAACACCGGUGGCGAAAGCGGCUCUCUGGCUUGUAACUGACGCUGAGGCUCGAAAGCGUGGGGAGCAAACAGGAUUAGAUACCCCUGGUAGUCCACGCCGUAAACGAUGAGUGCUAGGUGUUAGACCCUUUCCGGGGUUUAGUGCCGCAGCUAACGCAUUAAGCACUCCGCCUGGGGAGUACGACCGCAAGGUUGAAACUCAAAGGAAUUGACG
rnacentral:rRNA from 1 species